rnacentral:rRNA from 1 species
UACGUAGGGUGCAAGCGUUGUCCGGAAUUAUUGGGCGUAAAGAGCUCGUAGGCGGUCUGUCGCGUCGGCUGUGAAAACCUAGGGCUCAACCUGGGCCUGCAGCCGAUACGGGCAGACUAGAAUUCGGUAGGGGAGACUGGAAUUCCUGGUGUAGCGGUGAAAUGCGCAGAUAUCAGGAGGAACACCAAUGGCGAAGGCAGCUCGCUGGGACGGUACUGCGCUGAGACGCGAAAGCGUGGGGAGCAAACAGG